UACGAAGGGGGCUAGCGUUGUUCGGAUUCAUUGGGCGUAAAGGGUGCGUAGGCGGCGCGGUAAGUCGGGUGUGAAAUCUCGGAGCUUAACUCCGAAACUGCAUUCGAUACUGCCGUGCUUGAGGACUGGAGAGGAGACUGGAAUUUACGGUGUAGCGGUGAAAUGCGUAGAUAUGCGGAGGAACACCGAUGGCGAAGGCAAUCCCCUGGGCCUGCACUGACGCUCAUGCACGAAAGCGUGGGGAGCAAACAGG
rnacentral:rRNA from 1 species